UACGAAGGGGUGCAAGCGUUACUCGGAAUUACUGGGCGUAAAGCGUGCGUAGGUGGUUUGUUAAGUCUGUUGUGAAAGCCCCGGGCUCAACCUGGGAAUGGCAAUGGAUACUGGCAAGCUAGAGUGCGGUAGAGGGUAGUGGAAUUCCCGGUGUAGCGGUGAAAUGCGUAGAGAUCGGGAGGAACACCAGUGGCGAAGGCGGCGCUCUGGACCGAGACUGACGGCUGAGGCGCGAAAGCGUGGGGAGCAAACAGG
rnacentral:rRNA from 1 species